rnacentral:lncRNA from 1 species
UUCCCAUUCUUGUGGUUGUAUGUAUAUGAACAUAGGAAAGUUAUAUCUGAUUCAUUCCAUUGUCUUUCCUAGUCCCAUCUCCCUUUCCUUUUCUUCAUUCCCCUUUGUCUAGUCCAGUGAACUUCUUCUCAGCUUAAUACUCUUAUUGUGGCCCCAAAUAACAACCUCUUGGUAUGGGAAAUUGUUAAGAAAUAUCAUCAUUUAAAGAUCAAUGAGGAUAGUUUGUGGAUUUUGAGUGCAGUCCAACAAGUAUGGGCUGAUUUGGUGGAGAGUACCAGUUGCACACUUGCAAAUGAAAACUCACUUUGCUACUAAAAGUUUAAUCCUUAGUAUAAUGAAAUUCAGCCCCCAAUGUUUUAAAUAACGGGUGUUGUUUUUUUCAGAAUCUCAGUUUUACAAAACCCUUCAGUGGCUACUAGGAGAAGGUNAAGUUU